rnacentral:rRNA from 1 species
ACGGGUGAGUAAUGCUUAGGAAUCUGCCUAUUAGUGGGGGACAACAUUCCGAAAGGAAUGCUAAUACCGCAUACGCCCUACGGGGGAAAGCAGGGGAUCUUCGGACCUUGCGCUAAUAGAUGAGUCUAAGUCAGAUUAGCUAGUUGGUGGGGUAAAGGCCUACCAAGGCGACGAUCUGUAGCGGGUCUGAGAGGAUGAUCCGCCACACUGGGACUGAGACACGGCCCAGACUCCUACGGGAGGCAGCAGUGGGGAAUAUUGGACAAUGGGCGAAAGCCUGAUCCAGCCAUGCCGCGUGUGUGAAGAAGGCCUUUCGGUUGUAAAGCACUUUAAGCGAGGAGGAGGCUACUGAGAUUAAUACUCUUGGAUAGUGGACGUUACUCGCAGAAUAAGCACCGGCUAACUCUGUGCCAGCAGCCGCGGUAAUACAGAGGGUGCGAGCGUUAAUCGGAUUCACUGGGCGUAAAGCGUGCGUAGGCGGCUUUUUAAGUCGGAUGUGAAAUCCCUGAGCUUAACUUAGGAAUUGCAUUCGAUACUGGGAAGCUAGAGUAUGGGAGAGGAUGGUAGAAUUCCAGGUGUAGCGGUGAAAUGC